rnacentral:RNase_P_RNA from 1 species
GCGAUGGCAGAUGAUCGCUGGCGUGCAGCAAUGUUGCGCUAGAGGAAAGUCCGAACACCAUACGGCAGCAUGCCGCGUAAAACACGCGGGCGGCGUUCGCGCAAGCGGACGUGGACGGAAAGUGUCGCAGAAAAUAUACCGCCGUUCUUUGGCAACGGAGAGCGGUAAGGUUGAAAAGGCGAGGUAAGAGCUCACCGCGCGCGGAGUAAUUUGCGCGGCAGGAAAAACCCCAUGCGGUGCAAGACAAAACAGAGGGAGGGCAGCCGGUCCGUUUUAAUCCUCGGGUUUCGUCGCAUCACGUUGCGCGCGAGCGCAGCGGGCAUUCCGGAAACGGGAUGAGAUAAAUGAUCAUCCGGUCGCUUCGGCGGCUGACAGAAUUCGGCUUAUCGCUGUCACACAU